rnacentral:lncRNA from 1 species
CUACUUCAACAGAAAAAUGUGCAGGCACAUAUAAAUACAUCCUCCUCAUACUUUUGAGGGGGGCUGGACAUAUUGGAGAGAAAAACAACAAGAAGGGAGAUUCAAGGGAGAAAUUUAAGAAGAUUAACACCAAGAAUUGAAGAUUGGAAGCACUCAUUGGAAGAGGAAGGAGAUCUUGGUGCAAGAAUUCCAUUUUUUCUUCCACAUCUUUAUUUCAAACUCGGUGAUGUAUUCUAAGACAAUCUCCUAUUUUUCUUCCAUCAUUAUGAGUAGUUAAAUUUCAUGUUAGGGCGAACAAUGUAAUCUUUUGGAACCCUUUAUUUCAUGCAAUUGAGAUUCUAGU